CAGGAAGAAAGCUUGCUUUCUUUGCUGGCGACCGGCGCACGGGUGAGUAACACGUAUCCAACCUGCCCUUUACUCGGGGAUAGCCUUUCGAAAGAAAGAUUAAUACCCGAUAGUAUAAUGAUUCCGCAUGGUUUGAUUAUUAAAGGAUUCCGGUAAAGGAUGGGGAUGCGUUCCAUUAGGUUGUUGGUGAGGUAACGGCCCACCAAGCCUUCGAUGGAUAGGGGUUCUGAG
rnacentral:rRNA from 1 species